GACGAACGCUGGCGGCGUGCUUAACACAUGCCAGUCGAACGAAAAUACCAAGCUUGCUUGGUUGAUUAGUGGCGAACGGGUGAGUAACACGUGAGUAACCUGCCCCUUACUUUCCUGGAUAACUGCUCGAAAGGGUAGCUAAUACGGGAUAUUCUGACCAGCCUGCAUGGGUUGGUUUGGAAAGGUUGUUUUUCUGGUAAGGGAUGGGCUCGCGGCCUAUCAGCUUGUUGGUGGGGUGAUGGCCUACCAAGGCUUUGACGGGUAGCCGGCCUGAGAGGGUGGACGGUCACACUGGGACUGAGAUACGGCCCAGACUCCUACGGGAAGCAGCAGUGGGGAAUAUUGCACAAUGGGCGCAAGCCUGAUGCAGCGACGCCGCGUGAGGGAUGAAGGCCUUCGGGUUGUAAACCUCUUUCGUCAGGGAACAAGGCACUGCUUUUUUGGUGGUGUUGAGGGUACCUGGAUAAGAAGCGCCGGCUAACUACGUG
rnacentral:rRNA from 1 species